rnacentral:rRNA from 1 species
UACAGAGGGUGCGAGCGUUAAUCGGAAUUACUGGGCGUAAAGCGCGCGUAGGCGGCUUUGCAAGUCGGGUGUGAAAUCCCCAGGCUUAACCUGGGAACUGCAUUCGAGACUGCAUUGCUAGAGUAUGGGAGAGGGAAGUGGAAUUUCCGGUGUAGCGGUGAAAUGCGUAGAUAUCGGAAGGAACAUCAGUGGCGAAGGCGGCUUCCUGGACCAAUACUGACGAUCAGGUGCGAAAGCGUGGGGAGCAAACAGG